UACGUAGGGACCAAGCGUUGUUCGGAAUUACUGGGCGUAAAGCGCGUGUAGGCUGUUCGGAAAGUCGGGUGUGAAAGCCCUGGGCUCAACCUAGGAAGUGCACUCGAAACUCCCGAACUGGAGUCCCGGAGAGGAAGGCGGAAUUCUCGGUGUAGAGGUGAAAUUCGUAGAUAUCGAGAGGAACAUCGGUGGCGAAGGCGGCCUUCUGGACGGUGACUGACGCUGAGACGCGAAAGCUGGGGGAGCAAACGGG
rnacentral:rRNA from 1 species